CAACAUUCACACUGUAGAGCCCUUUGUAAAUCUACUGCUGGAUGACUUAUUUGACCAUACUUCACCACUAUGGUCAGUGCCGGUUGGUGAAGGCUGGCAGCAUAGAUAUUGGAGCGUAGUACAAUACAAAUAUCGAUUUUUGCUGGAGAGCCCUCCCCUGACAACGUAGCUCUCCUGAAAAAGAGCCACAUAAUCGAGGAGGCAUUACUUGAUGACGAUUCAAGGACGUUCUUGAACGCAGGAGAUCGGGACAGAACCGCGUAUCCCGACCUGCAGUUAAAUAAUCACCAACCCCACUCAUCGGCCUCUUGGAUGCAGCCCGGCACGAGAACGUGACGGUGGUGUUGGCGAGACGGCGACGAGAAAGAGAGGCCAUGGCCGAGUUGGGAAGGGAGAGGCAGGAGCCCCAGGUGGACCCCGUGACCUCUGUCCCCAGCGUGAAUCAUACGCUUGCGAAAGGCAAACAAUGGCAACCGAAGAUCAUCCUGAUCCAGUGCUGGGAUUUGCCUCAUUGCAAGUUGAAGCGAAGGGAACACUUACUUUCUCCUUCUGGUAAGCAGUCCUGCUUAGGAG